AAUAAUGAUCGUUGAUUUGUAACAAUGGUUUAUGAGUGACUAUAUACCAAACUUCUUCGUUAAUCAUCAAAAAGUGUCUUUAACAAAUUGGAAAUUGAAUUUGUUGAAUUAUUUUACUUGUUAUACUAAAUUAGUGGCUUUAGACGGUUGUCAUUUAGUCAAUUACAAUUUAAUUUAUUGAAAUUAUCUAACGUAUGAUCUCUUAUACUAUAUUUAAUAUGAGAUGUACGCUAGAACGAUAUAGUUCUAAAUACUAAGCCUUCCCAUGGUUCAACCACGAGGGAUUCAAAACUGGGAAAACUCUUUUUAUUUCACGAAUUUCUAAAAUAAAUCAUCGUUAGACCAACUUGAUGGUGGUAAAGUCAUGGGAAUAUGUUGUUGAAGAUAAAUGGGAAAUCUCUAAUAAAGUCCUAAAAUUUUGCCCCAGUUUAGAUUUUAGUCUGCCCACUGUUUCUUUUUAUCUUCAUCUUUUAUUCUGAAAUUGGUGCUUUACAAGGAUAACCACAUCAUUUAUUGCUAAUUUGAUUUGGGUGUGAAGAAUCAACUAGAGACUAUGAGCUGGACUUUUUUGUUGAAUAUUUGGGCUUAAGGUAUUCAAAAUCGGAUGGAUUUUUUGUUGAAUUUAUAGGCUUAAGGUGUUCAAAAUCAUAUAGUAAGCUUUAUUAAAUGUUGCAAAGUUUGCCCACCAGGUGUUUGUUAAAAGUCCUUAUUUAACUAUUUAAAGUUUAUGUGUGCUUUCAUCUAUUUGUUUCUGACUGAAACUGGGAUGGAACUUGGUUUCUCUUAUAGAUGAUGGUAGAGAGGAUGAUAAAAGCUUUCAAGAAUGCAUUUGAUGAAAACAUGGUUGUAUAAAGCUUGCAUUAGCCCGUUAACCUGAGACGGAAGAUAAAAACGAGAAACCUCAGGGCUCAUGGAAAUCCAUCUGAGGAAUGUAAAUAUGAUUUGGAAACUUUAUAUAUGAUUUGGAAACUUUAUAAGUGAUGAAGAAAAACCAAGUGUGCAUGCCUCUAGUUUGGACUUUGAGGAAGAAAUAACAUAAAUCCAAGAUUUUUGCCAUUGAAAUCCAUGAUGGAGGAGACAACCUAUGAUUUCAAGUCCUAAAUUUUGACAGUUGAAUAUAAUACCAAGAAGAAAGGAUUGAAUUCCAAACUGCCCCAUCUUUGUAAGCAUGUUGAUAGGUUGCGCGCACAAGUUUCUACAAUGGAACAACAGCAACAACAAAUGCAAGCACAAAUGGAAAUGGUUAUGUGGAUGAUAAAUAUGUCUGGAAAUCAGUCUCGUGCUCCCCCCAAUAAUCCUGAGGACAAUUGAAUUUGUAAACAUCUGGUAGUGUUUGUUUUGUUAAUUAGUGCUUACUUUUGUCAAACUUAGUAUUAGUCAAUAAGACAAUGAAAUGGAAUGUGUCAAACUUAGUAUUAGGGACGAAUGUGAAUUGAAUGUGGUAUUUGACAAAAAAUUGAAUGAAUUAUUACUUAUUUUUUUAUAUGGUAUUUGAGACAAAUGUGAAUUGAAUGUGGUAUUUGACAAUAAAUUGGAAAUUUUUAAA